rnacentral:tRNA from 1 species
GGGGUAAUGGCUCAGUGGUAGAGUGCAUGCUUAGCAUGCUGGAGGCCCUGGGUUCAAUCCCCAGUACCUCCA